rnacentral:rRNA from 1 species
UAAUACGGAGGAUGCAAGCGUUAUCCGGAUUCAUUGGGUUUAAAGGGUGCGCAGGCGGAAUGAUAAGUCAGUGGUGAAAUCUCCCGGCUCAACCGGGAAACUGCCAUUGAUACUGUCAUUCUUGAGUACAGUUGAAGUGGGCGGAAUGUGUCAUGUAGCGGUGAAAUGCUUAGAUAUGACACAGAACACCGAUAGCGAAGGCAGCUCACUAAGCUGUAACUGACGCUCAUGCACGAAAGCGUGGGGAUCAAACAGGAUUAGAUACCCUGGUAGUCCACGCUGUAAACGAUGAUCACUCGUUGUUGGCGAUAUACUGUCAGCGACUGAGCGAAAGCAUUAAGUGAUCCACCUGGGGAGUACGGCGGCAACGUUGAAACUCAAAGGAAUUGACGG